CCCCUAGAUGUUCUGGGCCGCACGCGCGCUACACUGGACAGUUCAACAAGUCUUAACCUUGGCCGAUAGGUCUGGGUAAUCUUUGAACGCUGUUCGUGAUUGGGAUAGACCUUUGCAAUUAUGGGUCUUCAACGAGGAAUUCCUAGUAAACGCAAGUCAUCAGCUUGCAUUGAUUACGUCCCUGCCCUUUGUACACACCGCCCGUCGCACCUACCGAUUGAAUGGUCCGGUGAAAUCUCGGGACGGCGGCUUGGUCGCUUGCGUCCGACUGCUGAAACUUGAUUAAACCAUAUCAUUUAGAGGAAGGUGAANUCGUANCA
rnacentral:rRNA from 1 species